UACAGAGGGUGCGAGCGUUGUUCGGAAUUAUUGGGCGUAAAGGGCGCGUAGGCGGCGCCACAAGUCACUUGUGAAAACUCUGGGCUCAACUCAGAGCCUGCAAGCGAAACUGUGGUGCUGGAGUAUGGGAGAGGUGCGUGGAAUUCCCGGCGUAGCGGUGAAAUGCGUAGAUAUCGGGAGGAACACCUGUGGCGAAAGCGGCGCACUGGACCAUAACUGACGCUGAGGCGCGAAAGCUAGAGGAGCAAACAGG
rnacentral:rRNA from 1 species